GGGGGCGAACUAGAUUCGACGGGGAUGUCGGGGUGUCGAGCAGCGAGCCGAGGUCCGUUCCUCGUUAAACAGCGGAACAGCUUUAACUGCCAACAGCGAAGACGAACUCGCUUUAGCUGCUUAAGUCAGCUAACGUUCUCGGGUGGCCGCGCCUGGCCGGUACUCGCGACGUAAAAUGACAGGCUCACCGGGUGGGAGCUUCGACCGCUUAGGGACACGAUAGAAGCCGCGCUGAUUCAUGCGCAGCUCACCGCGCAGACGUUCUAGAUCAAUGCGGUCGUCGGGCGUGCGCACGAGCCAUCCAUCCG
rnacentral:tmRNA from 1 species